rnacentral:rRNA from 1 species
UACGGAGGGUGCAAGCGUUAUCCGGAAUCACUGGGCGUAAAGCGUCUGUAGGUGGUUGAAUAAGUCAACUGUUAAAUCUUGAGGCUCAACUUCAAAAUCGCAGUCGAAACUAUUUGACUAGAGUAUAGUAGGGGUAAAGGGAAUUUCCAGUGGAGCGGUGAAAUGCGUAGAGAUUGGAAAGAACACCGAUGGCGAAGGCACUUUACUGGGCUAUUACUGACACUGAGAGACGAAAGCUAGGGUAGCAAAUGGG